rnacentral:rRNA from 1 species
AGGUUAAGUUAUUAAGGGCGCAUGGUGGAUGCCUUGGCACUAGGAGCCGAUGAAGGACGGGACUAACACCGAUAUGCUUCGGGGAGCUGUAAGUAAGCUUUGAUCCGGAGAUUUCCGAAUGGGGGAACCCAACUUGUUAUGCAAGUUAUCACCUAAUGAAUAUAUAGUUAGGUUGAAGGUAGACGUUGUGAACUGAAACAUCUCAUUAGCAACAGGAAUAGAAAGAAAAAUCGAUACCGUCAGUAGCGGCGAGCGAAAUCGGUAGAGCCCAAACCAAAGUGCUUGCACUUUGGGGUUGUAGGACUGACAUUGUGGAGUUACAAAGUUAACAUUUAGCAGAAUCAGCUGGGAAGCUGAGCGAGACAGGGUGAUAGCCCCGUAUGCGAAAAGUGUUGACCUCCCGUCAGGAUCCUGAGUACGGCCGGACACGUGAAAUCCGGUCGGAAUCCGCGAGGACCAUCUCGCAAGG